rnacentral:rRNA from 1 species
UACGGAGGGUGCGAGCGUUAAUCGGAAUUACUGGGCGUAAAGCGUGUGUAGGCGGUCAUGUGUGUCGGGUGUGAAAGCCCCGGGCUUAACCUGGGAAUUGCACUCGAAACUGCAUGACUAGAGUGUGGUAGAGGAAGAUGGAAUUCCACGUGUAGCGGUGAAAUGCGUAGAUAUGUGGAGGAACACCAAUGGCGAAGGCAGUCUUCUGGGCCAACACUGACGCUGAGGCACGAAAGCGUGGGGAGCAAACAGG